UACGUAGGGUGCAAGCGUUGUCCGGAAUUAUUGGGCGUAAAGAGCUCGUAGGCGGUCUGUCGCGUCGGCUGUGAAAACCCGGAGCUCAACUCCGGGCCUGCAGUCGAUACGGGCAAACUGGAGUGUUGCAGGGGAGACUGGAAUUCCUGGUGUAGCGGUGAAAUGCGCAGAUAUCAGGAGGAACACCGGUGGCGAAGGCGGCUCUCUGGGCCUUACCUGACGCUGAGGAGCGAAAGCGUGGGUAGCGAACAGG
rnacentral:rRNA from 1 species